AAGCCCGAGGCGCGGGCGGGUGUCGGGACCUGGGUUCAGCUUCUCGCGGGGCACUAGCCCUUGGCCUGGCCCUCGCACAGGGAAAAAGUAUUUGUGAUGCUCCAAGUCACCCUUGCGGUCAAAUUCCUCCACCGCCGCUUCCCCCCCCCCACCCCCCCACCCCCCCCACCCCCCACACACACACACUCCUUCCCCUCAGCUGGAAAUGAGAGGUGGUCAUUACUGCCUCCUUCAACAGGCCUCUUCCAUCAAGCUGGGUGGGCAGCUCAUGCCUGUCCUCAAUUGAAAGGAACCAGAUUUUCUCCGUGUGAGUUUUUGCCUUGCUGCCUCCAUCCCCAGGAUGCACAAAGCUAUUACCAGAUACUUCAUGUCACAUUAUCACCAGCCUUCCACUGCAGCUAAGAGCCAGCCCAGCCUUAACCAACCUCUCUCCCCUGCUCCCUCCAUACCAACUUGGCUGCUUUAGAAAUCAUUUACUCCAACUACUGAUUGAGGAAACUGAGGCCUGAAGCAUGGAAGGGACUUGCCCAAGGUCACCCAGCAAAUGAGCAGCUGACCCUGGGCCAGAACUCUGGUCUUCUGAAGAAAAUAAAACAGGACUCCUCCUACAUCCCAGUAAGAAGAUGGUGAAGAGAAUGGGGAAGAGAGCCAGAAAGAUGCCAUUUCACAUCUAAUCACUUCUUGUCACGUCGUAACCGUUUUCCUCAUAUGGAGCCUCACACUGAUGGAUCAGAAAUAACAUUUUCAAAGUUAUAUCUUCAAGGAAAUGGCUAUUAAUGUUCUUCCUCUCCUUUUAGAGUGCUGAGGAAUACAUAUUAAUUUUCUCUCUACUUAUAUUGCCUAUUUGCAAAUUGUAUUCACUACCCAGUGCUCCAAUUUGUCCUACCCCUGAAGAGAUUAUGAUGAAUAAAUGUGUUC